rnacentral:rRNA from 1 species
GACGAACGCUGGCGGCGUGCCUAACACAUGCAAGUCGAACGAAGCAUAGCAAUAUGCUUAGUGGCGGACGGGUGAGUAACGCGUGAACAAUCUGCCCUGUACAAAGGAAUAGCCUCGGGAAACCGGGAUUAAAACCGUAUGACACUUUAGUAUCGCAUGAUAAGAAAGUCAAAUCGAAUAGAGGUAUGGGAUGAGUUCGCGUCUGAUUAGCUGGUUGGCGGGGUAACGGCCCACCAAGGCGACGAUCAGUAGCCGGCCUGAGAGGGUGAACGGCCACACUGGAACUGAGACACGGUCCAGACUCCUACGGGAGGCAGCAGUGGGGAAUAUUGCACAAUGGAGGGAACUCUGAUGCAGCGACGCCGCGUGAGUGAAGAAGGUCUUCGGAUCGUAAAACUCUGUCCUUGGUGAAGAAAGGACGGUAGCCAAGGAGGAAGCCCGGCUAACUACGUG